GUCACCUGUACAGCAAGAGCAAGAGCAACAACAACAACAACGCCGAGGCGCCACCGUGAAGUGACAGCAUCCACCACUGACGGGGCUCUGGAGGCCGUGGUCCCGCAGCCUAACUAGCCCCAUAAAACACUCCAAAAGAAGAAUGUUUAAGAGUAGCCUAUGGCUGAUGUCAGCUUGCCCCGUCAUGGUGUAACGUCAUCACAUCACAAGUGUUGAUGUGGACAAAAAUGUUUUUGGUGCAGUGUUUGGAAAAAAGAACUGAGCAAUGAGAGGAGCAAAAAGAAAGGUGUAAUAGUGGAAACUAAGAAAAGGACAGAGAAGGGAAAGCCAAAAGAAAAACCAGAGUAAGCUAAAGUGAAGAAAAGAAAAAGGAAAGCAAGUCAGUGAAAGCAAAGUAUGCAGAAAAACAGAGCUCAGUGCAGGUGAAGUGAAUAAGUGUGCACAGUGUAGUAACUAAGUGUGAAGUACCUAUUUAACUAAAAUGCUUCUCAGUUUGUUCAGAUUCUGUAGGCUACAUAUUUGAAUGCCUUAUUUUUGUGUUUGUUUCUUAUUGUUUUUAACUUAUUAAAUUCUUAAUUUGCUUUCUUUUAUUUUGUACCAUAAAUGCAAUAUGCUAACUUGUCAGCAUUCGUUACCUGUCCCACUGAGACUGAUUGUUGCUUUAUUUGUAAGUCAUAUAUAAACAUAAGUAGUAAUGUAAUUUGUUGCAAGCUGUCCAAAUACUGUUUAAACACAAUAUAUUAUUGUACAGUGUUUGUUAAAAACAGUAAUUUAUCCACAGGAAAAGUAGAUGAACACUAGAUACCAUAAGGGUCUAGAAAAACCCACCAUCAGUUUGUUCCGAUUCUCUACCGAUUUGAAUGCUUCAUUUUUGUGUUUGUUUUACUUGUUUUUAACUUAUUAUAUUAUUAAUUCGCUUGCUUUUCUUUGUACUAUGAAUACAGUAUGCAAACUUUGUCAGCAUUCAUUACCUGUCAUAGUGAGUUUGAUUAUAGAUUUAUUUUUAAGUCACCGACAAGGGUGUAACUCAUUGCCGAAGUGCUACGGCCUCUGUAGCUUACUCUGUUCUGCUGAGGCAGUAGUACAGAUAUCCAGAAGAUCAACGGAACCCUUCAAACUUUCUCACUCAACCAUCCUCCACUCGGUGUUCGUCUGUAACAAUGUGUGAAUAUUGCCAGUAAUGUAGAUACAGUAAUAAUGGUCUCUCUCUCCUAGUAAUAUUAAUUAACUUAAUGAAAGGAUUUGAAACCUUGAUGCCGUGUUUGAACUGUUUUCUUUAGCUUGUAUAUAUAUUGUAGUAAACUCUUCAUUUUA